ensembl:lncRNA
CUCGGAGGAGAGCUUGAGAAGAUAGUUCUGGGUGGCAGAAGAUUACGUCUCACAGCGAAAGAGAAAGGGAUUAUAGAAUUGCAAGCUUCUUUUGAGCAGAUGGUAGAGAAAGUUGAAUUGAAAAAAAUCCUUUUCCUUAUCUUCUAUUUUAUUUUUACGGAUCGGUUCUGGGGGUGACUAAGAAUUGGCUGACUGUCAAUUGCCCUCAAUCAUGGACCCACUAUCCAUGAUACCAGAUGGGUGACACUGAGAUGGUAACUCAUCCCACAAAGGCAAGGAGACAGGAAUGGAGCUGACAAUCAAUAAGAGUGCUCAGGUCCCCAACCUGACAAUUGGCUGACUCUAAACACAGACUCAACAAUUUGUGUCCCUUAGCAAGGAAAAGCCAGAGAGAACACUCUUUCUGCUGUCGGGGCUCAGGGCAGGCCACCCCAAGAUGUGCCACAGUGGCGUAUUGAUUAUUUUGAAUUAAAGUUACUUGAGAAACAGCUGGAGCAAAAAGAACACUCUGACCCUCCCGUCUCUGUCCCCUGAAAGCGGGAAAUAAAUCUCCUACGUGAACUCUUCCCUCCCUUCACCAGAAGGUAGAGGGACAUCCUCAUGGCCAGAGAGAGAAAAGUGGGACCAGGAAGGCUGUGUAAACCGCUCUGCUUAGAUUCUUCCCUAAUUAAGCACCCAAACCUACAUUUGUUUGCCUUGUCAAUUUCUCACAAAUCUAUUGUUUCUUUGUUUAAAAAGUACAAACGUUGUCUGCUUAGGUCUUUUUUUUUCAGGUCUCGUUUCUAUGAGACCUCCAUACAUACGAAUUAAAUUUGUUUUUUUUCUCCUGUCAAUCUGUCUUCUGUAAAUUUAAUUAUUAGACCCAGUCAAAAGAACUCAAGAGUAGUGGAGGGGAAAUUUCCCCUCCCUGACACUGUUUCCAAAGCCGAGCUCUCAGAGCACAAAAUAAUAACAAUUUAGGCAGCACGAUACAAAACUGGCGCAAAAGGCAGUGGCAGGGAUGAUGGCAGUAUCUGGGAGAGACUGAUCCAAAUCAAAGAGUCAUAAUGCCCAAAAUACUGGCUCUAACCAAAAAUUUUAUUCUGUAAAUAUAAUUUUAGGCAAUCUCUUUUUUUAAAAAAAGACAAAAAGAGGUUCUUACUGCCCUCACUCAACCAGACCCUGGGCAGUGAUCGGGGAGUCUGGUUGGCAAGAAAGCUGGCUCACUGGCUUGGUCAGAGCUGCCAUUAGCUGAGCUGCCAUCCAGCAGAGUCCCAACCAUUCCAUCGGUGUUUCCAAAGCCGUUGGGAGGAAAAUAUUUCCUCUACUCACUUAGGUCCAACUAGCUGGGGACCUGCAACUUAACUGGCAACAGACAGAUUAACAGGAGAAAAGUGUAUUGCUCUUGUGAAAGUACUUGGCAGAACGUAACUCACUGAAUAGUCAGAGGUAAAGGUUUAUAUGACAACUUAACAAGAAGGGGAGUGGCUUAGGACUUUAAUGUGAAAGUAUGGAAGAUUUAGUUGAUCUUUUUGAUGCUAAUGGGAGGCUGAACUUACACUUCCCAGUGUUAAGGGUCAGCAUCCUCCCAAAGAGGAGGAUCUCUUGGAGGAGGGUCAAUGGCACCUGUAUUUUUGGGGGGCUCUGCUUAAGUUUAGAUAAUGUGUCUGUGGCUGCUGAUCAUUUAGCUGUUUUCAGUUUAAUUUUCAUACCACUUUGGUGGGCUGUUAAUCUCUCCAUCCAAACACACUAGAAAGGUUUGGCUGAUGUACACUCCACCCUCUCUCUCCUGCCGCCUUCUAUAUUUGUGUGAUUAUUUUUGGUUCUUUUACUGAUUAGCCUUACUACUCUGAAUAAUGUGUUUAAUCAUCAAUUCUUGUCUGAGCAACUUUAAACUCCAUCCCUUUUUAUGAUUAAGACAGCAAGAAUCCUGCUCUUUCCUUUCUCCAUUUCGGCUCCCCACCUUCUGUCAGUUACACUUGAGUUUCCCAUCUUCAGAUUCCUCACAUUUACUUUCUCUCCUGUAAUCACAAUCACAGUUGAUUCUGAAAGUUAAGAACCAAUAAGUGGUUCUAAGUAGACGCUACAAAAUCUGGGCCAAGUGAUGUGAAUCCUUUGAAUGAUGAUGGACAUAUUUCCUCUCCAGAGAUCGCACUGUCAUUCAAAGAAGAAUGAUCCUAAAGCAGGAUAAAGUUUUUUUCUCAUACUUUAUUGUUGCUCCAAAUUAUGCCAUAAUUCGUUUUGUCUUUUUUUGGAUCAUGUUUGCAUUUAGAUUUUUUUCCUAAAGUUUCUAAUUACAGGUGGUCCCUGAUUUAACAACGGUUGGACUUAGGAUUUUUUGACUUUACGAUGGUGUGAAAGUGAUACACAUUUAGUAGAAAUCGUACUUUGAAUUCUGCUCUUUUCCCUGGCUGUCAACAUGCGGUAUGAUCCUCUCUCAUGAUGCUGGCAGCGGCAGCAGGCAGCUCCCAUCAGCCCCACGACUAUGAGGGUGAGAAUGUGAUGCACUUGCUACCACUCUGUCCCCAGACAGACACUCUGUUUGUCACUUUCAGUACAGUGUUCAAUAAAUUACAUGAGAUGUUCAACACUUUAUCAUAAAAUAGGCUUUGUUUUAGAUGAUUUUAGCCAAUUGUAGGCUAAGGUAAGUGUUCUGAGCACAUUUACGGUAGGCUGGGCUAAGCUAGGAUGUUUGCUAGGUUAGGGGUAUUAAAUGAAUUUUCAACUUAUGAUAUUUUCAACUUAAGAUGGGUUUAUUGGGUUGUAACCCCAACGUAAAUGAAGGAAGUUCUGAGCUUUUUACUUUAUCUUUCCUGUUUUUUGGGGGGCUAUUUCUUAAUGUUUUUCUAAGUUCUUGAUAAUAUUUUUUAUUAUAUUGAAUGUCCAUCCUCCCUUUCCUCUUUUAUGGCCUGGAGACCUCCCAAAACUUCCUAAGAACGGAUGCCUACGGUAUAAAACUUCUGAGUCCUUGCACGUCUUAAAUUACUUUUAUUAUCUCUUCACAGUUGGUCACUUAUUUCCUGGCUGGUAGAAUCUUAGAAUUAAAAUUACGUCCGUUAGAAAUUAACAGGCAUUGCUCAAUCAUCUUCUAGCCAACAGUGAUGCUAAAGAGAUUAAUGCUAGUCUGAUGUUUGUUUCUUUGUAGGUAAUUUCUUUUUCCUCAGUGGAAGUUCUUAGGAUGUUCUCUUUAUCACUGAUAUUCUACAAUUUUAUGAGAAUAGGUAUAGAUCUUUUUCAUUUAUUCAGUUGUACCCUAAGAAGGCCCCUUUAAACUGAAGAGUCCCUUUAUCUGGAG